rnacentral:rRNA from 1 species
UACAGAGGUCCCAAGCGUUGUUCGGAUUCAUUGGGCGUAAAGGGUGCGUAGGUGGCGCGCUAAGUCAGGUGUGAAAUCUCGGGGCUUAACUCCGAAACUGCAUUUGAUACUGGCGUGCUUGAGGACUGGAGAGGAGACUGGAAUUCAUGGUGUAGCAGUGAAAUGCGUAGAGAUCAUGAGGAAGACCAGUGGCGAAGGCGGGUCUCUGGACAGUUCCUGACGCUGAGGUGCGAAAGCGUGGGGAGCAAACAGG